GACGAACGCUGGCGGCGUGCCUAACACAUGCAAGUCGAGCGAAUGAAGUUCCUUCGGGAAUGGAUUUAGCGGCGGACGGGUGAGUAACACGUGGGCAACCUGCCUCAUAGAGGGGAAUAGCCCCCCGAAAGGGAGAUUAAUACCGCAUAAGAUUGUAGUACCGCAUGAUACAGCAAUUAAAGGAGCAAUCCGCUAUGAGAUGGGCCCGCGGCGCAUUAGCUAGUUGGUGAGGUAAUGGCUCACCAAGGCGACGAUGCGUAGCCGACCUGAGAGGGUGAUCGGCCACAUUGGGACUGAGACACGGCCCAGACUCCUACGGGAGGCAGCAGUGGGGAAUAUUGCACAAUGGGGGAAACCCUGAUGCAGCAACGCCGCGUGAGUGAUGACGGCCUUCGGGUUGUAAAGCUAUGUCUUCAGGGACGAUAAUGACGGUACCUGAGGAGGAAGCCACGGCUAACUACGUG
rnacentral:rRNA from 1 species